AUUGAACGCUGGCGGCAGGCCUAACACAUGCAAGUCGAGCGGAUGAAGGGAGCUUGCUCCUGGAUUCAGCGGCGGACGGGUGAGUAAUGCCUAGGAAUCUGCCUGGUAGUGGGGGAUAACGUCCGGAAACGGGCGCUAAUACCGCAUACGUCCAGAGGGAGAAAGUGGGGGAUCUUCGGACCUCACGCUAUCAGAUGAGCCUAGGUCGGAUUAGCUAGUUGGUGGGGUAAAGGCCUACCAAGGCGACGAUCCGUAGCUGGUCUGAGAGGAUGAUCAGUCACACUGGAACUGAGACACGGUCCAGACUCCUACGGGAGGCAGCAGUGGGGAAUAUUGGACAAUGGGCGAAAGCCUGAUCCAGCCAUGCCGCGUGUGUGAAGAAGGUCUUCGGAUUGUAAAGCACUUUAAGUUGGGAAGAAGGGCAGUAAGUUAAUACCUUGCUGUUUUGACGGUACCAACAGAAUAAGCACCGGCUAACUUCGUG
rnacentral:rRNA from 1 species